AUCCCAGGUAAAAGUUUCUGUUUAUAUCUGAUUCAUGGGGUCCAAUAGAGUUAUAGGGAGUUCCCUGAUGGCACCUUUUUAUGUUUGAGGUGUGUUUAUAUAGUAACAUUCCGGACAUUC
rfam:Beta vulgaris subsp. vulgaris chromosome 4, whole genome shotgun sequence.